rnacentral:lncRNA from 1 species
AUUUGGUGGCGGCGGUGGCAGUGGCGGUGACGGUGACGGUGGUAGUUCAUAAGAAAUUAUAGUGACGGUCAAAAACUUUAAAAAAAGUGUAAGGAUAUUAAUUAUAAUGUAAUUAAAUUUUUGUAAGGAUUUGACCGUUGGGCCCAAACCACCGGUCCAAAAUGCUUAAGCUCAGUUAUUAUUACUAGCGUGUAGGUCUCAUAUAAACUGAUUGGAAUCAGUAUCCCAUCCUGAUGUGGGACUAUUCG